AAUCCAUAGGUUAAUGAGGCGAACCGGGGGAACUGAAACAUCUAAGUACCCCGAGGAAAAGAAAUCAACCGAGAUUCCCCCAGUAGCGGCGAGCGAACGGGGAGGAGCCCAGAGCCUGAAUCAGCAUGUGUGUUAGUGGAAGCGUCUGGAAAGGCGCGCGAUACAGGGUGACAGCCCCGUACACAAAAGCGCAUGUGCUGUGAGCUCGAUGAGUAGGGCGGGACACGUGGUAUCCUGUCUGAAUAUGGGGGGACCAUCCUCCAAGGCUAAAUACUCCUGACUGACCGAUAGUGAACCAGUACCGUGAGGGAAAGGCGAAAAGAACCCCGGCGAGGGGAGUGAAAAAGAACCUGAAACCGUGUACGUACAAGCAGUGGGAGCACAGGUUUACCUGUGUGACUGCGUACCUUUUGUAUAAUGGGUCAGCGACUUAUAUUCUGUAGCAAGGUUAACCGAAUAGGGGAGCCGGAGGGAAACCGAGUCUUAAUUGGGCGUUAAGUUGCAGGGUAUAGACCCGAAACCCGGUGAUCUAGCCAUGGGCAGGUUGAAGGUUGGGUAACACUAACUGGAGGACCGAACCGACUAAUGUUGAAAAAUUAGCGGAUGACCUGUGGCUGGGGGUGAAAGGCCAAUCAAACCGGGAGAUAGCUGGUUCUCCCCGAAAGCUAUUUAGGUAGCGCCUCGUGAAUUCAUCUCCGGGGGUAGAGCACUGUUUCGGCUAGGGGGC
rnacentral:rRNA from 1 species